UGCCUGGCCAAAUGACUCAUGAAGAUAUUCACGGAAGAAUAGUCAAAAACCAAAGAAAAGGCAUAUUCUAGAAGCACCUUCAAUUCCAUCGAGGAUUUUUGAGCAGCUGAAGAAGAAAGUUCUGAAAAUAUGAGUGACAGGACUCCAGCACAUUUUUUUUAGUUGUUUCUUACAUUAUCUUUGUUAACCCAUCCGCUUUUGUGUAUAAUAUUAAGUUAUUUUCCACUACUGCAAUGGCUAGUAAUUUACUUAGGCUCAGAGUUUUACUCUGUAUGGACAGAGAAAUAGGAGGUAACAACAGUGGGAGAACAAAUAGGAACAGUUCACUGGGAUGUUGGUCCCCAGAAAUUGGCUUUCAUUGAAUAAUUCCUAAAGGGUGUCGUGUGCUGAAUUGCUUUUUCAUAGUGAUGUGCUGCUUCUUGUUCAUACUCUUAUGACUUUAAUUUCACCUUUAUCUACUCCCAGCCUCUGUAUAUGCCUACGUUUUUAAAAAUAAUUUUUGGCACUGAAGAUCUGAUUACCAUAUUUUUUCAGUUUAAAAAUUAAAUCCUCGCAAAUAGAUCUUUGGUAUAGUUGCAUUCUACCCUAGGUUAUUUUCUAGGAUCAAGAAUAGAACAAUUUCUGUUCUUUCCAGCAUUACUCUUUACUAUUCAUAUGUUCUUGUUCAGUGUUUUGUUGUUCUCAUAUUCUAGGUGGAAAUGAAGGGUAAUCUCUAUGUUCUAUUUUCAGUUUUCUAGGAAACCAGAAAAACAUGGGUAGUAGAAAUGUAUAGAAAAUGUAUGAGGUCUCUUAACCAUUGUGUUAAACUUGCAUUAAGCUUCUUUUUUAGCAAUAUCGAUGUCAGUGUUACCUCUUCUUUCCUUUUUAUUUAUUUUUUUUGAGACAGAGUCUCAUUCUGUCGCCCAGACUGGUUGGAGUGCGAUGAUGCGAUCGCGGCUAACUGCAACCGCUGCCUCCCAGGUACAAGUAAUUCUCGUGCCUUGGGCUCCCGAGUAGCUGGGAUUUUUAGUAGAGAACAGGUUUCACCAUAUUGGCCAGGCUGGUCUUGAACUCGCAACCUCAGGUGGGCAGAUCACGAGGUCAGGAGUUCGAGACCAGCCUGACCAACAUAGUGAAACCCCCGUCUCCACUAGAAAUACAAAAAUUAGCCGGGCAUGGUGGUGCACGCCUGUAAUCCAGCUAGUCAGGAGGCUGAGGCAGGAGAAUCGCUUGAACCUGGGAGGUGGAGGUUGCAGGGAGCUGAGAUCACGCCACUGCACUCCAGCCUGGGCGACAGAGUAAGACUCCCGUCUC
rnacentral:lncRNA from 10 species